UMAAAGUCGUAACAAGGUUUCCGUAGGUGAACCUGCGGAAGGAUCAUUAACGAGAGGGGGGCUUCGCGCCCCAGGGGCUAAUACCCCCGCACCUUUCCACCCUGUGUAUAUCUUCCACUGUUGCUUUGGCGGGCCCCGGGGCUUCUCCCGGCGCUGGCCUCCUAACGGGGUCCCGCGAGUGCCCGUCAGAGGCCCAUUAAAUUCUGUUUAUCAGUGAAGUCCGAGUUCAAACAAAUAAAUUAAAACUUUCAACAACGGAUCUCUUGGUUCUGGCAUCGAUGAAGAACGCAGCGAAAUGCGAUAAGUAAUGUGAAUUGCAGAAUUCAGUGAAUCAUCGAAUCUUUGAACGCACAUUGCGCCCUUCGGAAUUCCGAAGGGCAUGCCUGUUCGAGCGUCAUUAAACCCUUCAAGCUUGGCUUGGGUAUUGGGUGCCCGCCCCCCGGUUUUAGGGGAGCGCGCCCGAAAUUCAGUGGCGGUCCAGGGAGACUUCAAGCGCAGUAAAAACUUUUCGCUUUCGAAGCUUUCGCCCUGUGGCUCUGCCAGCGAACCCUUUUACUUCAAGAAUGACCUCGG
rnacentral:rRNA from 1 species